GUUCCUGCCCACUCAGACGCUCCUGAAGUUUAUGAUUGACAUCGCCAUGGGGAUGGAAUACCUCAGUGGACAGAACUUCCUCCACCACGACUUAGCUGCACGCAACUGUAUGAGAUCAUGUACAGCUGUUGGCGUACUGACCCCCUGGACCGCCCCAUCUUCACUCAGGUAAGAGAACUGUUGGAGAAGCUGACAGAGAAACUUCCAGAAGUUUCUACCAGCAAAGAGAACAUCAUCUACAUCAACACCAGUUUCGCCGAGGAGGAGCAUGGGGUUUGUGCAGACCCCCACCUAGAUUUGCCGCUUUUUAGCACCUCCCCUUCCUGCAGUCAUAGCAACCAAUUCAGCUCCCCCCUUCCUGUUGCCACCCAUUUAGCUCCUCCCCUUCCUGCAGCCAGGUGAGACCGGACCUCCCCCUUUUCAGUUCCUUCUCUUCCUGCAGUCAAAGUCAGAGACCAAAUAACAGAGAUCUGGUGACAGCAGACAUCCACGAGAGUAAGGAAGAAGAUCGUUACGUUGUUGUCAUCUCUAAUGCCAAUCGGAGUGGAGACCCCGCUGUCGCCAAGACCGCAGCAACAGCAGCAGCUGUGGACAGUGACACUCCCCCGUUCUCGAGGGAGGGCUUGGGUGGGGCUGUGCGUGGAGCUACCCGUGACUCAGUGGGUGAUGUCACUGGAAUGGAGCAGCACGUGAGUGACACCACGCUGUUACUCUGAAGGGCAUGGAACAUUGGAACUAAAAAUCCAGGGAUUUGAAAGCAGAAAAGAAAAGCUCUCUCUCAGGUGUCAUAUCUGAUGAUAAUACACAUCCUUCUUGUCUGCACUCUGAUCUGUUGAGGAUAUUAUAGGUAUGGUAAUUACCUGGCCGGUGAUAAGCACGAUUACCGCAUGAUUACCGCCGGUAACGUGUCCGGCUCUGGACUCUAUGCUACUGGGUUCGAAUCAUGCCUCGGAAUAUCAUGCUACUCCUUCAUUUUAUUACAGUAUGAAGAGAUGUUACUGUGGAUCAUGAGCACAUAGGCUUCCUGCUUGGUGCAGCAUGUGCAGUCUUGAGUUGCCACCCUUCCAAGUCCUGUUUCACCAAGGAUCUGCCCAGUUCCCAUAGAAAUUGAAUACCUAUCUAUGAUUCUGUCUUCUGGCAUUAUUAAAACAGUAUUACAGGCUUGUCUAUUCCCUAAUGCUUUGCAUUGAAGUUAUUCUGACCAGUUUUUCAGUGGAUAUUUAUACCUCAAAUAGUUACCACUAGCUAUCCGUGUGCAAGAGAUGUACAUAAGAUAUUCUACAUUUGCACAUCUCUCUUAUAGUAUACAGCAUUUCCAAUGAGAUAAGCUUUGCUCAACAAAUUAAAUCAGUCUAUCCCUAGCAAAUAUUUUCCCUCCUGCAGCAAAGCACCCCCACAACAUGGUGCUGCCACCCCUGUGCUUCACGGUUGGGAUGGUGUUCUUCGGCUUGCAAGCAUCCCCAAAAAGUAUGAUCUUUGUCCCCAUGUGCAGUUGCAAACCGUAGUCUGGCUUUUUUAUGGUGGUUUUGGAGCAGUGGCUUCUUCCUUGCUGAGCAGCCUUUGAGGUUAAGUUGAUAUAGGACUUGUUUUACUGUGGAUAUAGAUACUUUUGUACCUGUUUCCUCCAGCAUCUUCACAAGGUCCUUUGCUGUUGUUCUGGGAUUCAUUUGCACUUUUCCCACCAAAGUACGUUCAUCUCUUGAUAUUGAAAGCUGUGAACAAGACAUAAAUACGGCCAACCACUGUUCUAAAUCAGUGUACUACACUCCCAACUAAAUGCUUACAUUCAAACUGUAUGUAAAUUUAAUUUUUAUAUAUUGAAGUAUUUUUAAGUGGCAUUGUGUAUAUGAACUUUACCUACUAAGUGUAUAGAGAGUAUUGUGUACAUAUGUUUUAUAGUCUGAAGAAAAAAAUCUGUUUUGGAUCUCUGAGGACCCUGUGCAGCCUUGAGGUACUCCACCAAGUUCAGGCUGUAGACCAUGGAAUGUGCACAAUAUCUAACAGUUUAAAUUAAGAAUUUUAAAACAAGUACAACUUUUG